rnacentral:rRNA from 1 species
AGAACGAACGCUGGCGGCGUGGAUAAGACAUGCAAGUCGAGCGAUGAUCACGGGGUAGCAAUAUCUCGUGGUUGGAGCGGCGCAAGGGUGCGUAACACGUGGGUAAUUUGCCAUGAAGUUGGGGAUAACUUGCUGAAAGGCGAGCUAAUACCGAAUGUGGCCCGAUGGAGGCAUCUCUGUUUGGCUAAAGCUGGGGACCGCAAGGCCUGGCGCUUCUUGAUAAACCCGCGGCCUAUCAGCUAGUUGGCGGGGUAACGGCCCCACCAAGGCUAAGACGGGUAGCUGGUCUGAGAGGACGACCAGCCACACUGGAACUGAGAGACGGUCCAGACACCUACGGGUGGCAGCAGUCGAGAAUUUUCACAAUGGGGGAAACCCUGAUGGAGCGACGCCGCGUGGGGAUGACUGGCUUCGGCCCGUAAACCCCUGUCAUUGUGAACAACCUAUCUAUUUAAUACGUGGAUAGUUGAUAGUAGCAGAAGAGGAAGGGACGG